GACAGAGGGGGCAAGCGUUGCUCGGAAUUACUGGGCGUAAAGGGCGCGUAGGCGGGAUGGUAAGUCGGUCGUGAAAUCCCUCGGCUCAACCGAGGAACGUCGAUCGAUACUACCGUUCUUGAGGAUUGCAGAGGAGACUGGAAUUCCCGGUGUAGCGGUGAAAUGUGUAGAUAUCGAGAGGAACACCAGUGGCGAAGGCGAGUCCCUGGACAACUCCUGACACUGAGGCACGAAAGCUAGGGGAGCAAACAGG
rnacentral:rRNA from 1 species